UACGUAGGGGGCAAGCGUUGUCCGGAUUUAUUGGGCGUAAAGAGCGUGUAGGCGGUUUGGUAGGUCCGCUGUGAAAACUCGAGGCUCAACCUCGAGACGCCGGUGGAAACCAUCAGGCUAGAGUCCGGAAGAGGAGAGUGGAAUUCCUGGUGUAGCGGUGAAAUGCGCAGAUAUCAGGAAGAACACCCGUGGCGAAAGCGGCUCUCUGGGACGGUACUGACGCUGAGACGCGAAAGCGUGGGGAGCGAACAGG
rnacentral:rRNA from 1 species